CCCAGCUGGUGACUUUUAUUGGUGGGAGGGGCUGUUCCAGGCCCGGACGCCUGGGUCCCUCCAGCGCUUCUGCCCUUCCCUCGCCCAGACGCCUGGGUCCCUGAGGCCACGUGUCCCCUCCCCGCUGCUUCCCCACAGGCUGCUCCAGGCAUCCAGGCUCUGCUGAGCCACGCUUGGAGCACACGUGUGGACCCGUGUCCUUGGUGUGUCCUCGGUAUGUCACCACCCUUGUCCCUAGCAUGUCCUCAUGCUGGCUGUGGCGUGUCCCAGGCGUGUCCCUAUCCGUGUCCAUGUGUGUCCCCAUGCUGGUGUGGUGUGUCCCAGGCAUGUCCCUAUCCAUGUCCAUGCACGUCCCCAUGCUGGCUGUGGCGUGUCCCUAUCCAUGUCCAUGCGUGUCCCCAUGCUGGUUGUGGCAUCUCAGGCGCGUUCCUGCAGUGGCUGUAGCAUGUCCCAGGCAUGUCCCUAUCCAUGUCCAUGCGUGUCCCCAUGCUGGCUGUGGCGUGUCCAUGCAAUGGCUGUGGCAUGUCCCUAUCCAUGUCCAUGCGUGUCCUCAUGCUGGCUGUGGCGUGUCCAAGGCGUGUCCCCAUCCAUGUCCCCAUGGUGGCCAUGGCGUGUCCCUAGCCAUGUCCUUCCAUGGCCCGCCAUGGUGGUGGCCGUGUCCCCAGGAUGCUGGUGGCCGCAGCCCCGUCCUUGCAUGUCCCCCGCGGCAGCGUUGGCGUGUCCCAGUCCAUGUUCUUGCGUGUCCCCCGCAGCAGCGUUGGCGUGUCCUUGGCGUGUCCCCCGUGGUGGCCGUGUCCCCGCAGUAGCCGCAUUCCCAGGGGUCAUGAUGACCCCACGGUGGCCGUGUCCCCAUGUCAGCCAUGUCCUUGUGUCCCCCGGAUCCCCAUGGUCCCCAAAUCCCCAUCCCCUGGUCCCCAUGUCCCCAUCUCCCAGCAUUCCCAUGGUGGCCAUGUCCCCCAUGUCACCAUCCCCUUGGGUCCCCAUGGUGGCCAUGCCCCAGUGGCCACGUCCCCCUGUGUCCUCAUGUCCUACUGUCCCCACAGUGGUCAAGUCCUGGAGGCCCUGUCCCCCCAUGUCCCCAAUGUCCCCAUGUCCUAGUGCCCCUGUCCCCAUGUCUCCCAGUCCUGGUGUCCCCCUGGGCCCCAGGUCACCAUCCCCCCGUGUCCUCAUGGUGGCCAUGUCCCCAAGGUGGCUGCGUCCCCCCAUUCCCCCCCCCGCAUCCCCCCAAUGUCCCCACGUCCCCAUGUCCGUCAGUGGCGCAGGGCCGCGUACUCCACGGUGUCCUCGGCAUCCCCGGUGUCCCCGUGGCGUCCCCGCGGUGUCCCCGGGGGGGACAGGGCCAGGGCGGCGUAGAGCAGGGUCCCUUCCUCGUCCCCGUGUCCGGGGGGGACAUUCUCAUAGUCGGGACCCUCAGGGGCCUGUGGGGACACGGGUGGCAUCGGAGGGGGACACGGGCACAGGACAUAGGGAUGGGGAUGGGACAUGGGG
rnacentral:lncRNA from 1 species